rnacentral:tRNA from 2 species
CCGGCCUUGGUGGAAUCAAGGUAGACACGCCAGUCUCAGGAACUGGAGCUCGAAAGAGCAGUGCGAGUUCGAGUCUCGCAGGCCGGACCA